rnacentral:misc_RNA from 1 species
GAUGAAGAACGUAGCGAAAUGCGAUACGUAAUGUGAAUUGCAGAAUUCAGUGAAUCAUCGAGUCUUUGAACGCACAUUGCGCCCCCUGGUAUUCCGGGGGGCAUGCCUGUCCGAGCGUCAUUGCUGCCCUCAAGCACGGCUUGUGUGUUGGGCCUCCGUCCUCCUCCCGGGGGACGGGCCCGAAAGGCAGCGGCGGCACCGCGUCCGGUCCUCGAGCGUAUGGGGCUUCGUCACCCGCUCUUGUAGGCCCGGCCGGCGCUUGCCGACACAUCAAUCUUUUUUCCAGGUUGACCUCGAAUCAGGUAGGGAUACCCGCUGAACUUAAGCAUAUCAAUAAGCGGAGGA